UACAGAGGCCACGAGCGUUAGGCGGAAUCACUGGGCUUAAAGCGUGUGUAGGUGGAUGGGUAAGUACCUUGUGAAAUCCCACGACUCAAUCGUGGAACUGCUUGGUAUACUGCCUGUCUUGAGGCACUCAGGGGCGAGCGGAACAGAUGGUGGAGCGGUGAAAUGCGUAGAUAUCAUCUGGAACGCCAAUGGUGAAGACAGCUCGCUGGGGGUGUUCUGACACUGAGACACGAAAGCCAGGGGAGCAAACGGG
rnacentral:rRNA from 1 species